UACGAAGGCCCCAAGCGUUAUCCGGAUUUAUUGGGCGUAAAGCGUUCAACGGUGGUUUGGAAAGUACCUGGUCAAAUCCGAUGGCUUAACUGUCGGGCUGCCGGGUAGACUUCCAGACUUGAGGCCGGAAGAGGCAAGCGGAACUACCGGUGUAGUGGUAAAAUGCGUUAAUAUCGGUAGGAACACCAAAGGCGAAGGCAGCUUGCUGGUACGAGCCUGACACUAAAGAACGAAAGCGUGGGGAGCGAAUGGG
rnacentral:rRNA from 1 species